UUCGACGGGCCCCGCACAAGCAGCGGAGCGUGUGGUUUAAUUCGAUGCAACGACGAAAAACCUUACCCACCUUUGACAUGGCAGGAAUCCCGAAGAGAUUUGGGAGUGCUCGAAAGAGAACCUGCACACAGGUGCUGCAUGGCUGUCGUCAGCUCGUGUCGUGAGAUGUUGGGUUAAGUCCCGCAACGAGCGCAACCCUUGCCAUUAGUUGCUACGAAAGGGCACUCUAAUGGGACUGCCGGUGACAAACCGGAGGAAGGUGGGGAUGACGUCAAGUCCUCAUGGCCCUUAUAGGUGGGGCUACACACGUCAUACAAUGGCCGGUACAGAGGGUAGCCAACCCGCGAGGGGGAGCCAAUCCCACAAAGCCGGUCGUAGUCCGGAUCGCAGUCUGCAACUCGACUGCGUGAAGUCGGAAUCGCUAGUAAUCGCGGAUCAGCAUGUCGCGGUGAAUACGUUCCCGGGUCUU
rnacentral:rRNA from 1 species